AAUAACUCUAGACUCCUCCUUUAGCCUCAGUUUGCUGCUUCUCCGCAACAGCCUUUGAUAAUCCAAACAUAUAUCUUGAAAAACCAAAAUAUAUUACUAUUAACAAAGUCAUAAGUAGUGGUUCAGUGAUCAAGAUCUAUUAUGAGUUUAGUAAAUAAUGAAGAAAGAUAACCUUCUUAAUGGUUUUGUUGAAACAGUUCUUGUGAUCAUCCAUUUCUUAACCUCGUCUACAACUGCACAUU